rnacentral:rRNA from 1 species
GUGCGCGGUAGCAAUACUGGCGCACGGCGCACGGGUGCGUAACACGUGGGUAACCUGCCCUGCAAUGGGGGAUAACCCGCCGAAAGGCGGGCUAAUACCGCAUGAUAUUCCGGUGGCUUCGGACGCCGGAAUCAAAGCCCGCAAGGGCGUUGGAGGAGGGGCCCGCGGCCGAUUAGCUAGUUGGUGAGGUAACGGCUCACCAAGGCUUUGAUCGGUAGCCGGUCUGAGAGGAUGGCCGGCCACACUGGAACUGAGACACGGUCCAGACUCCUACGGGAGGCAGCAGUGGGGAAUCUUGCGCAAUGGGCGAAAGCCUGACGCAACGACGCCGCGUGGGGAUGAAGCUUUUCGGAGUGUAAACCCCUUUCGACCCGGACGAAACGCCCGCAAGGGUUUGACGGUACGGGUAUAAGAAGCCCCGGCUAACUACGUGCCAGCAGCCGCGGUAAGACGUAGGGGGCCAGCGUUGCUCGGAAUUACUGGGCGUAAAGGGUUCGUAGGCGGUGCGGUAAGUCGGAAGUGAAAUCUCUGGGCUUAACUCAGAGGCUGCUUUCGAAGCUGCCGUGCUAGAGUGCGGGAGAGGCGAGUGGAAUUGCAGGUGUAGCGGUGAAAUGCGUAGAUAUCUGCAGGAACACCCGUGGCGAAGGCGGCUCGCUGGACCGCAACUGACGCUGAGGAACGAAAGCUAGGGGAGAAACAGGAUUAGAUACCCUGGUAGUCCUAGCCCUAAACCAUCGGGCUUGGGGUGGCCCGCGUUGGCGGGUCGUCCCGGAGCUAACGCGUUAAGUCCUGCGCCUGGGGAGUACCGUCGCAAGGCUGAAA